GUGUCUUGGCUAAUGUGUCUCGGCUAAAGUGUCUUGGCUAAGGUGUCUUGGCUAAGGUGUCUUGGCUAAGGUGUCUUGGCUAAGGUGUCUUGGCUAAGGUGUCUUGGCUAAUGUGUCUUGGCUAAGGUGUCUUGGCUAAGGUGUCUUGGCUAAGGUGUCUUGGCUAAUGUGUCUUGGCUAAUGUGUCUUGGCUAAGGUGUCUUGGCUAAGGUGUCUUGGCUGAGGUGUCUUGGCUAAUGUGUCUUGGCUAAGGUGUCUUGGCUAAGGUGUCUUGGCUAAUGUGUCUCGGCUAAAGUGUCUUGGCUAAUGUGUCUUGGCUAAGGUGUCUUGGCUAAGGUGUCUUGGCUAAUGUGUCUUGGCUAAGGUGUCUUGGCUAAGGUGUCUUGGCUAAUGUGUCUUGGCUAAGGUGUCUUGGCUAAUGUGUCUCGGCUAAUGUGUCUUGGCUAAGGUGUCUUGGCUAAUGUGUCUUGGCUAAUGUGUCUUGGCUAAUGUGUCUUGGCUAAGGUGUCUUGGCUAAGGUGUCUUGGCUAAGGUGUCUUGGCUAAAGUGUCUUGGCUAAGGUGUCUUGGCUAAGGUGUCUUGGCUAAGGUGUCUUGGCUAAGGUGUCUUGGCUAAGGUGUCUUGGCUAAGGUGUCUUGGCUAAUGUGUCUUGGCUAAGGUGUCUUGGCUAAGGUGUCUUGGCUAAUGUGUCUCGGCUAAGGUGUCUUGGCUUAGGUGUCUUGGCUAAUGUGUCUUGGCUUAGGUGUCUUGGCUAAUGUGUCUCGGCUAAGGUGUCUUGGCUAAGGUGUCUUGGCUAAGGUGUCUUGGCUAAUGUGUCUUGGCUAAGGUGUCUUGGCUAAUGUGUCUUGGCUAAUGUGUCUUGGCUAAGGUGUCUUGGCUAAGGUGUCUUGGCUAAGGUGUCUUGGCUAAGGUGUCUUGGCUAAUGUGUCUUGGCUAAGGUGUCUUGGCUAAUGUGUCUCGGCUAAGGUGUCUUGGCUAAGGUGUCUUGGCUUAGGUGUCUUGGCUAAUGUGUCUCGGCUAAGGUGUCUUGGCUAAAGUGUCUUGGCUAAGGUGUCUUGGCUAAGGUGUCUUGGCUAAGGUGUCUUGGCUAAGGUGUCUCGGCUAAUGUGUCUUGGCUAAUGUGUCUUGGCUAAAGUGUCUUGGCUAAGGUGUCUUGGCUAAUGUGUCUUGGCUAAUGUGUCUUGGCUAAUGUGUCUUGGCUUAGGUGUCUUGGCUAAUGUGUCUCGGCUAAGGUGUCUUGGCUAAGGUGUCUUGGCUAAGGUGUCUUGGCUAAGGUGUCUUGGCUAAUGUGUCUUGGCUAAGGUGUCUUGGCUAAUGUGUCUCGGCUAAGGUGUCUUGGCUAAGGUGUCUUGGCUUAGGUGUCUUGGCUAAUGUGUCUCGGCUAAGGUGUCUUGGCUAAAGUGUCUUGGCUAAGGUGUCUUGGCUAAGGUGUCUUGGCUAAGGUGUCUUGGCUAAGGUGUCUCGGCUAAUGUGUCUUGGCUAAUGUGUCUUGGCUAAAGUGUCUUGGCUAAGGUGUCUUGGCUAAUGUGUCUUGGCUAAUGUGUCUUGGCUAAGGUGUCUUGGCUAAGGUGUCUUGGCUAAGGUGUCUUGGCUAAGGUGUCUUGGCUAAGAUGUCUUGGCUAAGGUGUCUUGGCUAAUGUGUCUUGGCUAAUGUGUCUUGGCUAAGGUGUCUUGGCUAAUGUGUCUUGGCUAAGGUGUCUUGGCUAAGGUGUCUUGGCUAAGGUGUCUUGGCUAAUGUGUCUCGGCUAAGGUGUCUUGGCUAAGGUGUCUUGGCUAAGGUGUCUUGGUUAAGGUGUCUUGGCUAAGUUGUCUUGGCUAAUGUGUCUUGGCUAAUGUGUCUUGGCUAAUGUGUCUUGGCUAAGGUGUCUUGGCUAAGGUGUCUUGGCUAAGGUGUCUUGGCUAAGGUGUCUUGGCUAAGGUGUCUUGGCUAAGGUGUCUUGUCUAAUGUGUCUUGGCUAAUGUGUCUUGGCUAAUGUGUCUUGGCUAAGGUGUCUUGGCUAAAGUGUCUUGGCUAAGGUGUCUUGGCUAAUGUGUCUUGGCUAAUGUGUCUUGGCUAAGGUGUCUUGGCUAAGGUGUCUUGGCUAAGGUGUCUUGGCUAAGG